GUAGGGAAUAUUGGGCAAUGGAUGCAAGUCUGACCCAGCCAUCCCGCGUGCCGGAAGAAGGCCCUCAGGGUUGUAAACGGCUUUUGACGGUGAAGAAUCGACAGGAUGCGUCCUGUUUUGACGGUAGCCGUUGAAUAAGCACCGGCUCACUCCGUGCCAGCAGCCGCGGUAAUACGGAGGGUGCGAGCGUUGUCAGGAUUUAUUGGGUUUAAAGGGUGCGUAGGCUGGAAGGUCAGUCAGCGGUGAAAAGCUGUCGCUUAACGAUAGUCUUGCCGCAGAUACUUCCUUUCUUGGAUGAGGAGGAGGCCACUGGAACGGAUGGUGUAGCGGUGAAAUGCAUAGAUAUCAUCCAGAACACCGAUUGCGAAGGCAGGUGGCUGUACCUUAAUCGACGCUGAUGCACGAAAGCAUGGGGAGCAAACAGGAUUAGAAACCCGGGUAGUCC
rnacentral:rRNA from 1 species